ACAGCAUCUCGUCCAGGAGACUACCUCAUAUUCACCACCACACCCAUUUGAGGAGCCUACAGACCCAUCUCAGGAGCCUACUCAGGCGCCCGUUGACACACAGGUUCAUCCUUCGGCGCCUGAGGUGGCGACUCCCGACGAGGAAGAGGUCGAGUUUCUAGACCUAAUUCAGCCUGAGGUUUUGAGCGUGCCAGCGGGACCAGAUCCCAAGAAGAAGCACGUUCUAGUCAAGGGCGCACGGGCCAGGGGAAGAGAUGAUGAUCAUGACUUGGAGCGCCCGGUUAUUAAGAGGAAAAAGGGCGAUGGAGACGAUGGCGAGGGCGGUGGGGAUGGUAUGAGCCUUAGGCCUAGGGAUAGUCUCCGGCAUACUACAUGUGGGACCCAUCCUCGAUAGUGUAUAUACAUUAGUGUUGUACAAUUUAUCGUAAAUAUUAUAUAUUUUUUGCAUAUUUAUACAUAUUAUCUUAGUUUUU